GCCUCUGUAGCUUAGUCGGAAGAGCAUGUGACUUUUAGAACACUGCUUCAAAGGCAUCACAAGGUCAAGGGUUCGAGCCCCUUCAGAGGCU
rfam:Cryptococcus dejecticola CBS 10117 unplaced genomic scaffold supercont1.3, whole genome shotgun sequence.